rnacentral:rRNA from 1 species
AUUGAACGCUGGCGGCAGGCCUAACACAUGCAAGUCGAGCGGAUGAAGGGAGCUUGCUCCUGGAUUCAGCUGCGGACGGAUGAGUGAUGCCUAGGAAUCUGCCUGGUAGUGGGGGAUAACGUCCGGAAACGGGCGCUAAUACCGCAUACGUCCUGAGGGAGAAAGGGGGGGAUCUUCAGACCUAACGCUAUCAGAUGAGCCUAGGUCGUAUUAGCUAGUUGGUGGGGUAAAGGCCUACCAAGGCGACGAUCCGUAACUGCGCUGAGAGGAUGAUCAGCCACACUGGAACUGAGACACGGUCCAGACUCCUACGGGAGGCAGCAGUGGGGAAUAUUGCACAAUGGGCGAAAGCCUGAUCCAGCCACGCCGCGUGUGUGAAGAAGGUCUUCGGAUUGUAAAGCACUGUAAGUUGGGAGGAAGGGAAGUAAGUUUAUCUCUUCACGUCUUGACGUUACCUACAGAAUAAGCCCCGGCUAACUUCGUG